rnacentral:rRNA from 1 species
UGGGGAAUAUUGCACAAUGGAGGGAACUCUGAUGCAGCGACGCCGCGUGAACGAAGAAGGCUUUCGAGUCGUAAAGUUCUUUUAUAUGGGAAGAUAAUGACGGUACCAUAAGAAAAAGCCCCGGCUAACUACGUGCCAGCAGCCGCGGUAAUACGUAGGGGGCUAGCGUUGUCCGGAAUCACUGGGCGUAAAGGGUUCGCAGGCGGAAAUGCAAGUCAGGUGUAAAAGGCAGUAGCUUAACUACUGUAAGCAUUUGAAACUGCAUAUCUUGAGAAGAGUAGAGGUAAGUGGAAUUUUUAGUGUAGCGGUGAAAUGCAUAGAUAUUAAAAAGAAUACCGGUGGCGAAGGCGGCUUACUGGGCUCAUUCUGACGCUGAGGAACGAAAGCGUGGGUAGCAAACAGG